CAUAUUACCAUCUUUAUAUCGCAAAACUAUUGCAAAGAAUCAAACUUAUCAUAUUCAGUGAUCUACAUGACAGUUUUUAUUCCUCUUGAAUACCUAUCAUAUUAGGACCCAUUUCAUAACUUAUGGAUACUGCCAUUUCUAUUAUCAUACUCUCAAAAUGAUAUAAGUGAAGCAUGAAAGUGCAAAUAUUUCUUUGAAAAUAACCACCGUCAUGCUCGAAAAGAUAUAAGUGAGAUAAUAGAGCAACUGCCUAGCUGAAAAUAUAUAAGUGAAGCACAAAGAGUAUUCUAACAAAUCACGAAUGAUGUGUGUCCCUCUCAAAAAAGUGUAUCCAGCAAAUAUGACUAUGGCAAACUAAAAAGAAAACAAAGCAAAGACUCAUAUAAUACACGAUGCUUCAAGCAAAACUCGUAUCAUGUGACGAAUAAAAAUAUAGCUCCAACUAAUUUACCGAACGUGGCUGCGGGCCUGACUCUGGAAUUCCGGCCACCAAUACCCUCGCCGGCGUCGCUCUCCUCAGCGGGAUGCCCUAGCGGAUCCCGGUUUUCCUACCUUGACGCGGAAUCCGUCCCAUCUGACGAGGGAGCUCCUACCAUCAAGAUCCAGAUGGCCAUGGACGUGCUCGACGAAGGUGGGUCUGCUGCAGGAUGGACUCCGGUGGUUCGCCAAAGGAGGAAGAUGGGGGCUGAGCCGGUACAAGAAUUAUGGGAGGACACCGGCUUCCCCACCCUGGCGUCGUGUUUCUAGGAGAGCAAUCAUCAUCUUCGUCGGAGUUCGCACUACAUCACAACACUUAAUUAGGGGCAGUUAACUGUCGGGAGAAAUACUAGAUUAAAGGCAAAUUAUCUGCCGGGAAUUGUUUUACUGCCGGUAGAAGGAUUCAAUGGCAGAUAAACUGCCGGGAGAAUUUGAGCAUGGCCCACCCGAGCGAGACUGUCCCCGUGGCGCGAGACUGAAAUUACUCGGCCCAAACCCGCUGGCGCGAGAGAGCGCGCGUGGGCUGAAAAUAUUCACAGAAAAACGUUAUAGGCGCCGCCCCCACCAGUUCUGCCCCAAAUCGAACCCUCCUCCCCAUCUCAGCCCUCCCGUCGGACCGACGCCGCCGCCGAGCCCUUCCGCCCUCUACAGCCCCCUCCACCGCUAACCUGUUCAACCUCCACCAAUAUUAAUGGUGCGGGUGCAUCGAGGUCGACGUCGCCUCCCUCCACACCCAUCUGGUGUGCGAGGUGGACAUCGCCGUCCUCCCUUGGGCUCCGCCAUCGAGAUUGGUCAACACCGUCGGUGCUCGAAGCUUGCCUCCCUCCCCAACACCAGAUCCGACGGCAGCACCGAGCCCCUCCAUCGUGCCGCAAGCCCGCCGACGGCAAGCACCAGAGGAAGCGGUGCUUCUUGGCUCCUCUACCAUCUCUGGGUCGUCGCGCCACCACCAUGCCGCCACGCUCUACAUCCCCGCGGACCUCCAUCUGAUGACCAUGGGCGGGCUUCCUCCACCCCGAUGGCGAGCGCAGUGCAUGCUCGUCACUACGCAGGUACAAAAGGCUGCUCAGAUCUGUCAAGGUGGAAACCAGAUGCAGGUACUGAAGACAUAUAAUGAAUGUUGGGAUCCUUUCCCCCCUUGUCUUUGAAGGAUUUGUGUGUAGAAUAAUGAGAUGUAUAGGGGGGUUGAGUUACAGAGGGAGUUGCUAUCAUCAAUUCAUCAUGCACAUACAUGCUAGUUCCUUAACUCUCCUCAUACUCACGUGAUUAAUUCAGUGCAUGUUAAACAUUUUUUACGUCUGUUUCAGUUAUAGAUGCUGCUCCUCUCUAAAUAGGUGGCUGGAAGAACCCCUAUCUUUAAUUUUGCCUAAACUUGUAACAGGUCGUGGAUUAAUAAAGGUUACUUUUUCUGUAAAAAAAUGUACGCUCAGUUGUGGACUGGACUGCAGUGCUUUCUGUAAAAACAAACUUCAUACCUUGUUUUCAUAAUGUCAGAAAACUAUUCUUGAUGGUUUUGUAGGUUGACGGCGGAUACUUGAGAGUAUUUGGUUUAUGUAACUUCUAAGCAGGUUCAUUGAUUCUAGAGUUGCCGCCUUCUGUUAUGUGUAGAUGUAAAUGUAAAAGAAACAGUAAGUAAUCUCCCUUUCUUUUCUUUUGUAUUUGUCAUGAUUUUAUAUAACAUGUCUUAUUGCAGCUAUGCAUUGCUUCAAUUGUACUGAUCGCCUAUGAUAAAAAGGGAAUAAUAUUUUGUCCAAAGUGAGCAGAUGAGAGAAUAAUAAUGCUUAUUUUCUGACAAACAAUGUGGCUUCCGUAAUAGCCUACAGUAGCUCUGGACUGAACUAGACGGGCGCUCUCUGCUACCUUGCAAGUCUGUGUGUUACCUCACAUGAAAGUAUACUCAUUCACACGCUGCUAUAUUAUCUCCUAAUGCCUUCCCCUAAUAACAGAGCCCGUAAUCAGUACAUGUCAGGAAUAUGUCCUCAUCUGUACACAUAAAUUUCUACUACUGUACAUUGCAUCUUAUUUAUUGUAUGCUUUUCUGGUCUAAUGAACUGGAAUUGAAGUCCUGUUUUGGUUUGUUCUUAAAUCUGACGUAUGUACCUGAAUACCAUCUAUGGUUUACUUUCUUAGAUACAUUAAAUUUUAGUAAGUUUCAUGGAAACAAUUUUGCACAUCUAAAGUAUGGUGCGACCCCUUCUGAUUGCUUUCCGCACUAUUGUAUAUUUAAAACAUGAUUCAUAUAUGAUAUUUUUCAAUUUGUUAUCCUCCCAUAAUCACCCAGUUAAUGUAUUCCGCCAUUAAAAGUAUACCAGAUGCUCUUUUAUUACUGUAUUUUACACUCUUGGGUACAACUUAUUUGUUUUGUUGUCUUUACUAGGGAGACACUUCAUUGUUCUUUUAAGUGAUCAAAGUCAGCAGAAUUCUUUUUUGUAACAUUGUUCUCAUCUCUGAACACUUACAAUGAAACACAUUAAUUGACAUAUGAUUUGUUAGCUUUCUAUAACGUUUUAUUUCUCUGAAAUCAAUUAUUGCAAAGAUUCAUUGCCAGUGCUCCAUGUUGUAAAGAUUCAAUGUUUUAGUGGUUAUAUUAACCCAAAGUUUUCUUUAAAUGGUUAUCUCAUUACAUCCAGCAUCUGCUGUUAGUUGUUUUUCAUCUGUACCAUCUUAUCUGUUCAGGUUGGCAUCACACUUGAAGAUCUUUUGGUUAACAUGUAGUUAUACUAGUGAACUAGGAUGUCUACAUGGUGAUUCAUUUGUUCAUAGUGACAACACAAUCAGGUGGGGUGAGGCUAUCAAUCUGUGAUCUUUCAAGCAUUGCAAGUUUGGUGCUCUUCUGCUGGCGACAUGGGGCCAUCUUUGAAUAAUGCAGUUUCACAUGAUGAUGGCGAGUCUGGUUUUCAGAACAUCUCAUGAAAAUGGCAAUGUCAUUUGACAAACGGCUGUGCUGAAAUAUACAGAAGUGUGAACAUGCCAUUGUUUCCUAGACAUAGUUGUAGCCUUAUGUCAAGCUCAAACCGUUAGUGUAGCUUAGUUUGAAGACAUGACAUCUUAUUGUCGCAUGUAAAUUAUGUUUACCGAUGUGGUUGGUUGCUACUGAACACAUCUAUGGAUGUUGAAAUCUUGAAUUUUUAGUUUGAAUGUGUUUCAGGUCUGCUAUUGAAUCUUGAGUGAAA